rnacentral:rRNA from 1 species
UUGGCUCUGGCAUCGAUGAAGAACGCAGCGAAAUGCGAUACGUAAUGUGAAUUGCAGAAUUCAGCGAACCAUCGAAUCUUUGAACGCACAUUGCGCCCGCCAGUAUUCUGGCGGGCAUGCCUGUCCGAGCGUCAUUU